CGUCAGAAUAUGUUGGUAAUAACCAGCAAGAACAAUACAGAUCGCAUUACCCCACCGAGGCUAUAAUAGGGACAACUUCAACCCUAACGAGACUACCAAUACCAGUAAGCUGACACGGCCACGGGUGUUUUUCUUGGAAGGCAAAAUCCCCUUGCGCCUCGCUAGCCUUCCCCUUUAUUCGAUGCCAAUAAAAUUUCCUAGACACGACGGUCCUCGUGUUGGCGCUCGGUACGGAAAGCUUUCAAGAAUUGUACCGUAUGCGAAACCUGACGUAGCUCUUCAACGAUUUAACCUAGAUAACACGCCUAAUCUCGGCGAGGGAGCGUGAAAGCAUCGUAACUCGAGUAGUGUUUUCAAAUUUUUUUAGCGCUUUUACGAUCCAUUUGAUCGCAUCGAGCGGCUCGACGAUCUACAAAUCGAACGUAAUAAAAUUCUACGUAACGUAUGCGAGCGUGCCGAGUAGGCGAGAAAAGGCACGGUCGAGCAGCGGAGAAAGGCGAGCAAAAAUCGCGGCUCCAAGCUGGCUAGGACGGUGAGCAACGAGCGAACGGGCAAGCAAGCAAGCAAGCAAGCGAGCAGCAAGCAGUCAGACGAGAGCGGCAGACAACAUGGCGCCGAGAGCGUCGUCACGCCGGCGUGACGUUUCCCGCGCGCGUCAUUAACGGAAGUGAGCACACAAAAUGGCGGAGUUUUACGGCGCUGAGGUGUGAAAGGGAGGAGAGUACGGCAAGGGGGCAAGAGGGAGAGGCGGGUGGGGCGCCUACGGGUGCGGGCAGUCAGGCAGGAUGACGAGAGCCGUAGAAAGAGAGGAGUUGGUGGAGGUUAGGUCGGUGGCGCAAAGAAAGAAGAAUGACUGGUGGCCGGCAGCGGUGGACUAGCGCCUGUGUGACUGUGUGUCGAGCGGGUUGCCGGGACGUCGAGGGGCGCCUGCUGGAUAGAGAGAAAAAGAAAGAACACUCCGCUCGAAGCGAGGAAAGAAAGAGAAAGGUUGAGAGGUGGCCGGAUAAGUGGGGGUAACACGGUAAAAGACGGUGAGUGUGACAGCGACGAGCGAGGCGAGGGGUUUUAGAGCGAGAGAGCGAGUGGCGAAUCGUCGAGAGGGGAAGGGAAAAAGCGUUUCAGUGGGAAGCAGCCGCAGUCCUCGCCGAUGGUGGGGAUGAAAAUUAGUUACGGCAUCUACCAAGACCUAAAAGGAACUCCGUGCGCGGUGCGGCCAGGCCACUUCGUGCAAUGUUACGCGUUAAGGUACCCCCGUGCGUUGUUGGCAGUACCCGGUUUCUAAGCUCAUCGUCGUCAUUGUCGUUACCGUCGUUCUCGUUCUUGUUCUCGUUUUCGUUCUCGUUCGCGGUCUUGUGCUCGACGUGACGGUCAUCGUCACGCUGCGAAACAAUUCGGUACGUGAAAACACACUAUGGCUCAUGGCGUAAGCGAGGUGCUCGGUGAGGGAAGCACAGUGAAAAUGGUGCAUCAGAAGCAGCAACAGCAGCAGUCGGUGCAUCAACAUCAGCAGCAACAAAACGCGAAAAAAUCUGUCGGUGUGAUGGGAAGUAGACGCAUAUUCGCGCCGGCCUUCAAGCUCAAGGUUCUCGAUUCGUACAGGAACGAUAUCGACUGUCGUGGAAAUCAACGAGCCACAGCGAGGAAAUACGGGAUUCAUCGACGUCAAAUACAAAAGUGGUUACAGUGCGAGGAUAAUUUGAGAAACAGUUGUGCCGAGACUGGAAAUAAUGGAGUGGUCACGACGACGGUGAUCUCUGCCGCGGGUGUUUCUAAGGCGGACGGCACCGUGUCAGAAUCCACGGGGUCCGCCGUGACUCCAGCAGCGCCGGCCUUGAACCUCAGCCUCGCCAGACUGCACGGCGACGAGCUGGCUACACAGCAAGGGCCCCCACCUCUUCUUUCUCGUCCUCCUCAUGGUAGUUCACCCUCUUCGCCCCAAUACGUUUCUCAAUCCAACACGGUUUCGGUUUUACCCGUUCGUGUCGGAUACCAGGAAUAUUCCGCUAAUCAAGAUCAACAUCAUCUUCGUCGAGAUACGGAGGAUCGAAUACGGGCAACGGACGUUCACGGAUAUUCGGAGGCUCGUGUGAAUCAGGAAACUAAUUAUUACGUUUUAAACGCUGAUGGACAACGUGAACUGGAAAACGCGACGACGUCGUUCGAGAGCCGAAACGAGGCGAAGGUGUACCAAACUCUGACGAGUUAUCGCGCCUCGCAUCAGGAGCAUCGGUACAGUGAAAAUGAGAAACAUCGUUCGCCGAGUCAUCGUCAUCGAUCGUCGCAAAAUUACGGAGAUGUGGAUUCCUCGGUGGACGGGAAAUCAUCGUACGGUUUGCUGCUAGCGCCGUCGAUGAUAAAGACGGAACGCGCGAGCCCAGACUCGGCGGCGACGCCAGGGCCGUGCGAGUCGACUAGUUCUCCCGGUCUCUCCAGGAUCCCACUCUCGCCUCUUCUGCAUCAAGCCAGCAACAGUUCCAGCUCCAGUUCCAGCUCUACAACGUCCGUUCACUUCGAUUCCCCACGGGCCUCCGCGAGUCCGUGCUCGUUGCACGUGCACGAUCACGAUCACGCACACGAGCACGUACACGCAUACGCGUCACCGACUCCGGAUUCCGAGAAGUCGAUCCCGUCCAUGUAUCAGCAGGAGAGAGAGUCGAAGGAGACAACGACGACGACGACAACGACAACGACAGUUCGUAUCGGUGAGAAGGAAACAGAGGACAUUGCGGGGGAGGCAGAAAUUGGUAGGGCGGUGGUCAAGGAAGAAAUUCAGCUGGAAGAAGAGGAGAAUUGCGAGGAGGGAAGAGAAGCUGUCCCUGCAGCAUCUUCGUACAUCGAUUAUCAACGACCACCUGCUGGCUCGUCUUUUCUCGAUUCCCGUCCUGCCAGCCCUGUACACGAUCGAGAAGGAUACUCGUUGCCUUCGAGCCCUCGCGAACCGACCAGUUCCGCUGGGUCCAGCACCAGUUGCUCCGACAGCGAGAUGGACCCUCUCGACUGUUCUUCCGGUGGUCACAAUUCGUCCAACGACCUUGCUCGGCGACGAUCCUUCUCCCUGCGAUUCAAAUUAGACGUUCUCGAUGCUUUCCACCGAGACGUCGGUGUCGCCGGGAACCAACGCGCCACCGCUCGAAAAUUUGGCAUAAAUCGUCGUCAAGUUCAGAAAUGGUUAGGCCAGGAAACGGAGUUGAGGGGCGAGAUCGCUCUUCGUGGAAACUCGCGACAGCGACUCGGCCCUAUCCAGGAUGUCGCUUCCGGUGACUCACCGGUAGAUCUGAGGACGUCGAACUACGUUUCCAGUUUAUCGCAGGAUCAAAUCGAAGCUGAAUACGAGCGAUCGCCUCCGCCUCGUUACUGUUGCGACAUCGGCUCCUCCUCCUCGCAGCAUCUUUUCUACUAUCACCAUCCUGCCGCGAUAGACCCGUCUUCCGAGAGCGAGCCUACCGUUUCUUGCAAUCUCUCCUGUUGCAUGGACAGUCACGCUACGACACCGGUCACCUCGUGUUACCAGGAAGUGUCCUUAAGGGGAUCUUGCUACGCGGAGUCACAGAACAGGCAGUACUGUUAUUCUCCGAGAGAGUAUUCGUCCGAGAUCACUUCGAUCCCCUCGAUCCCCGAACAAUCGGAAGAAUUGUCCUCGCCACUCAAGAGGCAACACUGCACCCUCUCUUGUUGCUACGAAACGCUGCCUUCGCCGAAAAGGCUUUGCCUGGAGGCGGAUGAAUCGACACAAUUGAACGGAAAUUCCUGCCAACAAGUGCCUCCUCAAGAAACGCCACUCUGUCUGGUGAAGCCAAAGAGGCUGGUUGUCGCCUCGCCGUUGAGGACAGAGCCGGUAACCAGUACGGUGCCGACGCCACCGGCGUCCACCGUGCUACCGCAUCCAGGACCAACAGCGAAGAAGGACGCCAUCUUGUUCAAACCCUACUUGGACAAUCCGGUGAGCAAACCUGCGAAAGAGCACGCGGUUCAAAGGGGAUUGUCACCAGUCAGCAGUCAGAACAUCAGCAACAACAACAACUGCCAAAGCGUUUGUAAUUUGAACGAAGGUAGCAGGGGCCACGAUUAUGCUCUCGAGCUUAGCUUAAGACUGCCGGUAUCCUGGAGGACUCAACCGAGUCCGUACACCGAGUUCCCGCAGGUCAGGAGCGCAUUCGUUAGGUAUCCAGCGAGUCAUUACAGUUAAUUCAAACGUUUAUUCGAUUCUCGAUCUCGUGAAAUAUGUAUUACAGCGACACCUGUUCCAGCUUGAUCCUCGAUUCGGGCCGAGUCCAAGUACCUUGCAAUUGAUUUUAUUUACUUUACAAAUUUUAGAAUACAAUUUUUAAUUGUACAUUGAGAAUUUUAACCCAUCGAUUCUUAGAUAUCUACAAUCGUUCAGGGACAAAUGCCUCGUGGACAGGAUCAUCCGAGGCAGGAUCGAUUAGUACGUGAUCUACGACACGUCGUAUGCCACGUAAGAGUUUAUCGUUUCCACGGAUCGUCGGUACCGUGUUAUACAUCAUGAUAAAGUCCUAAUCGGCCAUUGGACGAACCGAAACGUGGAAGGAGAUUAUACACACGCUCGCGUCCUCGCUUAGCAUCUCCUUCGGACCCCCUCUUAUACCUUACGCUCUUCUUCUUUUUCCCCGCUCAAAAGUCUUUUCUUUACUUUUUUUUUCCGCGCCUCUUUAUCGUCGAGAUUAACGGCUAUCUGCUAGGCCGUUUAGAGGUCGAGUGCGUUCGCUAUAAUUACGGAAUUAUGUCAGUCUCGGGACGAUACCGAUCACGAAAGAAAAAGUCUCUCGCGGCUGACAACGUGGUUUCUAGCAUUGCGUUACGCAAUAGCCUGACGACAUACCGUCUCUUGUUCAUCGAGUAAUCGUAUUCUCCAGAAAAAAACCAUCGAUUCGUAUCGAAUCGAACUCGAAACGGAUGAUCGUCUAUGCUAGAACUGCGGCUACCGGUUUCCUUGGUUCUUUUUCUAUUCUUCAUCUUCUUCUUCCUCCUCCUCCUCCUCCUCCUCCUCUUUUGCCACGGUAGCUUCUCGAUUCUCGGUUUGUCAUACAUCGUUUCGAAUGAACGGUUGUCGCUGUUCUUAUUCCACCGUCGUCGAUCGAGGAUCGAUCUUAUAAAUAUCGUGUUUAAUUGCUCAAAAAAUUUCUUCCAUGGGCGCAGCUGUGCGAUGCACGGUGCGCAAGUAUUACGACAGGGUUUCGCUUCUUCGUUAUAUUCUUCGGUUCUCUCCCCUUUUGAUCGACUUCUUUAUGAAUCUUCUUCGAUCUCUUUCUUCUUCUCCUCGAAAUAUAAUUUUGUAAAUAAAAUAAUUCUAAUGUUUCUCUGUCGAUGCAAUAAAUAAUUGAGGAGAAAGAGGAAAAAGUAUAUGAAACUAAGAAAAAGAAAAGUCAGUACUUACCUAACGAUUACUUCAAUAAUUAGAACUAAAAUUAUUUAAUAUCAUAAGGAAAGGAGUUGACGAUGCAAUUGUAAAAUUAUUUUAUUUUUGGAAACAUAAUAUUCAUGACGAAACACGGUCGAUCAAGAGGGGAGAAUUUCAAAAAGACAAAUACGGGAGUGCUCCGAAACAACUCGCGUGCCUUACACAUGAUAGGAGAUCGUGUAGCGUCGACAUUUUAAGGGAUACAAUUUUAGAAAUUUAGACCAAUAAGGAGACAACGUUCUUAAUUAUUCUUAUAAAUUAUUCGCACGUCGUCUUCUCCGUUUGACCGUGUGUUCCGAUUCUCGCGAGGCGAUAACACGUUUCUUCUUUAACAUCGUCGAACGACUUUCGGUAAUAAUAAUAGAGAAUGAAAAAAGUGUGGAAAUUCCUCUUCAUAUGCGAUUACCAUUUCUCGUAAUCGGUCGUUAUGUUCGACCCCAAGGAGAUAAUGGUCGCGAUAAUGAUCCGUGUGCAUUGACCAGCGUUGCUAUUCGCGAAAACGGAUACGAGCGAACGGGAAAGCGAAAAUAGCGGUUCCACGAAUGUUCUUGUGAUCGGAUAAUUGAGCGAGCCCACGGUAAAGAAGGGCAAUUUUGUAAAUCACCGUCGCAGACGGAGGCAGUUACGUCAAUGUUUCAAUAUUCAGAGCCAAUCGAGCUCGUUCCCAGUGCGGCUAAUCUCACAUAUUGCGACAGCCGCGUUACAUUAUCGGUCGAAAUGCACUCGCUCGUUACCGAGUCGGCCGACACGGGUCAACAGCGCACCAAUCUAUCUCCCGAACGGACGUAAAAAUGCGUCAAAUUUUGUAAAUAGUCAACUAUUCGUACCUUUGAAACAAUAACAGUAUCGGAAAAGGAAUUUCCCUCCCCUUCGUUCCGAUUCGAUCUCGUCUUUUAGAACUCGGAGAAUCGGAAGAUAGGAAACGAGAGAAGAAAAGGAGGGUAUAUUAGCCUUGUCCGCGUUCGUCGAUAGGGUCAAGGUGGCAAUGUACAAUAAAAUGUAGCGUAAUCGUAAGCCAUAAUGAAUUACAUAAUGCCAUAACGUUUUACAUAAUAAACGUAUAGUGUCGAACCGACUGACGAAAGAGGGAGCGUGCUCGGUAGUGCGAGAAAUAAAUGCGUGGAUACGUGCGUGCGUGCUUGCUUGCCUGUGUUCCGUGUGCACAGCCCACAAGAGUCUAUUAAACGAGGCAUAGAGCAUUGUAUAAGCAAUAUUUUUUAAGUGCAUAAAAGUGUGUGAACGGUUGAGAGGUAGGCGAAGGGAUGGCGCACGAGCAGCAGCGUUUCGUGGGCGAGCCCCCGCGUUUUAAACUUCGUCAUUCACACACGUUAGAAACGAAGCGCCUGAAAAACUCGCCCGGUGCCUUUUUAGAUCGCUCGUGCCUUAUAGCUUCGCGCGAGGUGGAAUCAAGGACCAAAAGUGUCCCGCGUCCUUAGAACGAUCCACGGGUAUUUAUACGUUCCCCUCCGCGACGAUGAAGCGUUCCGUGCUGGUUCUUGGCAAGGAUAACGCUACGGGACAGAGUGCAUACACCGGUGACUCGCCCAAGCGUGUAAUAAUAUCAGUAUUCAGAAUUUAUAUUCGUUUAUUUAUUAUUGGUCGUCGACACAGUGGUCCGAAUCGAAGAAUUUAGUUACGUUCUAGUAUUACCUUUGAACCAAGAGAAGGUACAUCCUGGGAUCUCCUCUUCUUCGUGUUCAUUCCUUGAAAAAAAUACGUAAGAAAUGUGUUCGGCCUUGUAUCCAGUUCAUAAUCCAUGUAAGGGAGAUGAACACGGAGGAAAGGAACCCAUGGACAAGGUACGAUUAAUAUUUUUUGGUAAAAUGUCCCUAUAUUCUUCUGUCCGGAGUCUGGACCAUUGUACGUCAUUUUAAAUCCACGUUAGAAACGAACCACUCUUGUUUCUCUUCUGCCUCGUCGAAUGAAAGAGGAUAAUUGAAAAGAUAUUAUAGUUUCACCCUUCUCUUAGAUCUAUUUUAUUCGUAUUUCCGAUCAUUCUGAAGGAAAACAUUUAAAAUUCAGUAAAACGAUAAGGUGAACUCGUUCCGAGGGUCGAUCGAGAGCUAACGAAACGAAUCAAUCAGGGUUCCUUCGCCGAGAGGCAGCUCAAAGUGUGAUAAAUCGCCUCGUUUCUUCGAGGCUUAUCUAUUUUUCUUUUUUUCUUCUGUACGACCGAGGCUCUCUGGCGAGCAUGAAACAAUGGCGAAAGCAACGAUAUUAUUUGACUCCGUCGUUUAAAAGCGUUAUUUCUCUUCUGUCGUUAAAAUUGUGAUCUAUCGAGAUGAAAAUGGCGAGACUGAGAGGGAGAGGCUGAAACACAGAGAGAUAAAGUAAGUGUGAACGUCGUUCUUCUUUUUUUUUUCUACGAUAGGAAGAAACAAAAUUCAUUGUAUUAAAUAUUGUAUUAUAUGUACACACAGCCGGACACAUACACACAGACAUGUAGAUUAUUGAAAAUUUUAAAGAAAAUAUAAGAGACUAUUUUAAAUGAA